rnacentral:rRNA from 1 species
AUACGGAGGGUCCAAGCGUUAUACGGAAUCAUUGGGUUUAAAGGGUCCGCAGGCGGUCAAUUAAGUCAGAGGUGAAAGCCCAUCGCUCAACGAUGGAACUGCCUUUGAUACUGGUUGACUUGAGUUAUACGGAAGUAGAUAGAAUAAGUAGUGUAGCGGUGAAAUGCAUAGAUAUUACUUAGAAUACCGAUUGCGAAGGCAGUCUACUACGUAUAUACUGACGCUGAGGGACGAAAGCGUGGGGAGCGAACAGGAUUAGAAACCCUAGUAGUCC